rnacentral:rRNA from 1 species
GACGAACGCUGGCGGCGUGCCUAAUACAUGCAAGUAGAACGCUGAAGCUUGGUGCUUGCACCGAGCGGAUGAGUUGCGAACGGGUGAGUAACGCGUAGGUAACCUGCCUGGUAGCGGGGGAUAACUAUUGGAAACGAUAGCUAAUACCGCAUAAUAGUAGAUGUUGCAUGACAUUUGCUUAAAAGGUGCAAUUGCAUCACUACCAGAUGGACCUGCGUUGUAUUAGCUAGUUGGUGAGGUAACGGCUCACCAAGGCAACGAUACAUAGCCGACCUGAGAGGGUGAUCGGCCACACUGGGACUGAGACACGGCCCAGACUCCUACGGGAGGCAGCAGUAGGGAAUCUUCGGCAAUGGACGGAAGUCUGACCGAGCAACGCCGCGUGAGUGAAGAAGGUUUUCGGAUCGUAAAGCUCUGUUGUAAGAGAAGAACGAGUGUGAGAGUGGAAAGUUCACACUGUGACGGUAUCUUACCAGAAAGGGACGGCUAACUACGUGCCAGCAGCCGCGGUAAUACGUAGGUCCCGAGCGUUGUCCGGAUUUAUUGGGCGUAAAGCGAGCGCAGGCGGUUAGAUAAGUCUGAAAGUUAAAGGCUGUGGCUUAACCAUAGUACGCUUUGGAAACUGUUUAACUUGAGUGCAAGAGGGGAGAGUGGAAUUCCAUGUGUAGCGGUGAAAAUGCGUAGAUAUAUGGAGGAAACACCGGUGGCGAAAGCGGCUCUCUGGCUUGUAACUGACGCUGAUGCUCGAAGCGUGUGGAGCAAACUGGAUUGAAUACCCUGGUAGUCCAAGGGCGAAUGUCCACAGUGGGAAUUUAAGCUUAGCGUUACCUCGACUGUGAGGAGAAACACCAGUAACCAUUUUUGAUCUGCUUUAUGGUGGGACAAUAACGAUAUGCCAUACUUGUUUUCUCCUUGUGAGUGUAUGCUGUGUGUCUCCUGUGUCUUUUGUGUUGCCUUACUGUUCUGUAUCUCUCCUCUGUCUUGUGUGUGCUUGUGCUCCUCCUAAUUUAUAUAAUAUUAUUGCUUGGCAUUGCUUGCACAUGCCUGUGCCCUGAUGAUGUGUGGUGUGCUCCCUUGUUACUCCUUGUGCAUCUGCCCUGCUGAGUGUAGUAGUACUGUUACUCUGUCUCCUUAGAUCUGCUUUCUUGCUUUAUCAUG